GCCUGGGUGGCUCAGUGGUUGAGUGUCUGACCUCAGCUCAGGUCAUGAUCUCACGGUUUGUGGGUUCAAGCCCUGCAUCGGGCU
rnacentral:tRNA from 1 species